UCCGCUCCGCUAUCCGGGAUUGACUACUAUGCGUGCAACACACACUUCCUCCCCUUCCGCAUGCAUGAGUCUUCUCUUCCACCUUUGCGCGCCCGAUUCUUCCUUUUCCCCUCCGUGUGACUACUUCUUCCUCCAUGCACAACUGUUGCUCCUUUGCUCGCGAUCACUCCUUUUCCCUCUACAUGCGAUUCUGCUCUACUCCUUCUCCCUCUGCACGCCUCCUCCGUCGCUGCCACCACUGCAUCCGUCGCUGCCACCACUGCAUCCGUCGCAACCACCAUAGUCUAUUACAAUGUCAGGAGAUGCAGAAUCAAACACCCAGCCACAAACAGUGUCGUCUUCCAAUUCCAGUAAUUCUAAGAGGAGUGAUGUUGCUUGGAAGCACAGUACACCAGUGAGAGAGAAUGAUACAAAUGAGAUUCUUUGUACCUAUUAUCGGAAGGUUAUGAAAGGAGGUAUCACAAGGGUGAAACAACUUUGUAUUGGAAAAGCGGGCAAUCUUACAACUUGUUUGAUGGCUCCUGAAGCUGUCAAGGUUGAGAUAAGGGCAGCUAUGGAUGGUAAGAAGCAGAGGCAAAAUGAAGCAUUCAAGAAGGCAAUGCAAGAGAUUGAAGCAUAAUGUGAAGAAGGAUUUAUGGAAUUUGGAUGUUUUGAUUCUCUGCUACCUCCAAUGGGUGAUUUUAGAUUGAAGGAUAUUAGGAAGGGUCCUAUGGACCUUUACAAUCAAUCUCAAUCUACAGCUACAAAAAAUAGGAAAUACAAGGUGGUGCAAGCGGACAUAAGAGAGCUUUGUGAUAAAAAAGCUACAGAAAGGGUGUAUCAACAUAUAGCAUGCUUUUGGUACCAAGCUGACAUUCCUUUCAACUUGAUAAAGUUGGAAAAUUUUUCAAGAUAUGCUUCAUGAAAUUGGGCAUUUUAGGAAGCAUUUGAAAGCUCCUUCCUAUCAUGACAUUAGAGUACCACUCCUUCAAAAAGAGGUGGAGUACACUAAUGAAUUAAUGAAGCCACUAAAGGAUCAAUGGGCAAGUUUUGGGUGUUCCUUAAUGUCAGAUGCUUGGACUGAUAGGAAACAAAGAAGCAUAAUCAACUUUUUGGUGAACUCCUCUUCUGGGACAAUGUUCUUAAGGUCGGUUGAUGCAUCUGACUAUGUAAAGGCCGGUGAAAAGAUAUUUGAGUUGCUGGAUUCUAUUGUGGAGGAGAUUGGAGAGGAAAAGGUUGUCCAAGUUAUAACAGACAACGAAAGUAAUUAUGUUCUUGCUGGUAGGUUUCUAGAGGAAAAAAGAAUUUUUUUUUUAUUGGACUCCUUGUGCUACACAUUGUAUAGAUUUGAUGUUAGAGGACAUUGAUAAGCUGCCCAAUAUAAAGAAGACCAUUCAGCGAGCUAUCUCUCUUGUUGGCUUCAUUUAUAGCCAUUCAAGCACUUUGAGCAUGUUGAGGUUCUUUACUGGUGGGAGGGAGUUAGUGAGGCAUGCAAUCACUCGAUUUGCAACAUCUUAUCUUUCGUUGAAGAGGAUUCAUCAAGAGAAAACUAAUCUUCAAAAGAUGUUUGUGUCAGAAGAGUGGAAUGAAAACAAGCUAGCAAAGGAGGCCAAGAGAAAGGAAGCCACUAAAACUGUCUUGAUGCCUAGUUUAUGGAAGAAUGUAGUUUUCAUUCUGAAAGUGAUGGCUCCUCUUGUGAAAGUGCUUAGGCUUGUGGAUAGUGAGAAAAAACUAGCCAUGGGCUACAUAUAUGAGGCAAUGGACAAGGCAAAGGAAACCAUUAUGAAAUCUUUUAAAAAUGAAAGAAAAUACAAGAAUGUGUUUGCAAUCAUUGAUAAAAGAUGGGAUAUUCGGCUUCAUCGCCCUUUACAUGCUGUUGGUCACUUUUUGAACCCGGAGUUCUUUUAUGCCAACCCACAGAUGGAGUUUAAUGGUGAGAUUAUUAGGGGUUUGUAUGAUUGUAUCAAUUGCUGGGAGAUUUGGAGAUGGAGAAGAUUGUUCAUAAGGAGUUGGCUCACUAUAAAGCUGUGAGUGGUAUGUUUGGGCCCACAACUGCUAUAGCAAUGAGAGGUGAAGUUGCAUUGGCUCAAUGGUGGCGGAUGUAUGGUUCAGAUACUCCAUAUUUGCAACAACUUGCAAUAAGGAUCCUUAGCUUGACCUGUAAUGCUUCAAUUGUGAAAGUAAUUGGAGCGUCUUAGAGCAAGUUCAUACUAAGAGAAGGAAUAGACUUGAGCAUAAAAGACUACAUGACUUGGUAUUUGUCAAGUAUAAUCAAGCACUCCAUCAAAGGUAUAACCUUAAGGAUGAAAUCGAUCCAAUUAGUCUCAAUGGGAUUGAUGAUUGCAAUGAGUGGCUAAUUGGAGAGAUGGAUGGGGAAGAAGGUGAAGAUGAGAGGGUUCAUGAAGGAGAUGAUGACCUUACUUGGAGACAAGUUUAUCAAGCUUUGGGACUUGGUGAGCCUAGACAAUACACUAGGCGUCACAAAAGGAGAGGGGAAAGUAGGAACAUCUACUAAUCCUUCUAAAAGAGCCAAAGGAGUAGCUUCAAAGAACAAGGGGAAAAGGGUUGAAGAAGUUGAGGCAUUAGAAGAUUCUAGCAAUGAGGAGGAGGAAUUAGUGCCAAAUGCUAAUUUCAUACAUUCAGAUGGAGAAGAAGCUGAAUGAUUUUUAAAUGAGCAACAUCAUCUAGUGGAGAAGAAGCUAAUUUCAUACAUUCAAAUGGUGAAGAAGCUAAUUUCAUACAUUCAAAUGCAGACAUUGAUGAGGAUGAAGAGGAUUAAACAAAAUAGUUUUAGGAAUUGUCAUUGUGUUUUGCUAUUUUUUAACAUUGUUUCUUUGUUUUGAUGGCUAUUUAAUCCUUUUGUUGGUUAGGAAUUUAUGUUUUUUUAUGAUGACUAUCACUAGAUUAUGAAUGCCAUGAAUUUUAGAUUGUUAUAUUGUUGGUUUUAAUAUAUGUGUUUGUUAUUUUUCUGUUUUUGCAUCAUAUUAUAUAUAUAUAUAUAUAUAUAU